rnacentral:tRNA from 1 species
UUAAUUGAAGCCAAAUAGAGGCAUAUUAAUGUUAAUAAUACCAUUGAGAUAUUCUCCAAUUAAA